rnacentral:rRNA from 1 species
UACGAACGCUGGCGGCGUGCCUAAUACAUGCAAGUCGAACGCUUUUUCUUUCACCGGAGCUUGCUCCACCGAAAGAAAAGGAGUGGCGAACGGGUGAGUAACACGUGGGUAACCUGCCCAUCAGAAGGGGAUAACACUUGGAAACAGGUGCUAAUACCGUAUAACACUAUUUUCCGCAUGGAAGAAAGUUGAAAGGCGCUUUUGCGUCACUGAUGGAUGGACCCGCGGUGCAUUAGCUAGUUGGUGAGGUAACGGCUCACCAAGGCAGCGAUGCAUAGCCGACCUGAGAGGGUGAUCGGCCACACUGGGACUGAGACACGGCCCAGACUCCUACGGGAGGCAGCAGUAGGGAAUCUUCGGCAAUGGACGAAAGUCUGACCGAGCAACGCCGCGUGAGUGAAGAAGGUUUUCGGAUCGUAAAACUCUGUUGUUAGAGAAGAACAAGGAUGAGAGUAGAACGUUCAUCCCUUGACGGUAUCUAACCAGAAAGCCACGGCUAACUACGUGCCAGCAGCCGCAGUAA